UGGGGAAUCUUAGACAAUGGGGGAAACCCUGAUCUAGCCAUGCCGCGUGAGCGAUGAAGGCCUUAGGGUUGUAAAGCUCUUUCAGCUGGGAAGAUAAUGACGGUACCAGCAGAAGAAGCCCCGGCUAACUCCGUGCCAGCAGCCGCGGUAAUACGGAGGGGGCUAGCGUUGUUCGGAAUUACUGGGCGUAAAGCGCACGUAGGCGGAUUAGUCAGUCAGAGGUGAAAUCCCAGGGCUCAACCCUGGAACUGCCUUUGAUACUGCUAGUCUUGAGGUCGAGAGAGGUGAGUGGAAUUCCGAGUGUAGAGGUGAAAUUCGUAGAUAUUCGGAGGAACACCAGUGGCGAAGGCGGCUCACUGGCUCGAUACUGACGCUGAGGUGCGAAAGCGUGGGGAGCAAACAGGAUUAGAUACCCUGUAGUCCACGCCGUAAACGAUGAAUGCCAGUCGUCGGGUUGCAUGCAAUUCGGUGACACACCUAACGGAUUAAGCAUUCCGCCUGGGGAGUACGGUCGCAAGAUUAAAACUCAAAGGAAUUGACGGGGUCAUAGCUGUUUCCUG
rnacentral:rRNA from 1 species